rnacentral:rRNA from 1 species
UCCGGGUUGAUCCUGCCAGAGGUUACUGCUAUCGGUGUUCGACUAAGCCAUGCGAGUCAUAUGUUCUUCGUGAACAUGGCGGACUGCUCAGUAACACGUGGAUAACCUGCCCUUAGGUUUGGCAUAACUCCGGGAAACUGGAGAUAAUUCCGAAUAGGUCAAAUAUGCUGGAAUGCUUUUUGGCCAAAAGACUUCGGUUGCCUAAGGAUGGAUCUGCGGUCUAUCAGGUAGUAGUGGGUGUAACGUACCUACUAGCCUACGACGGAUAUGGGUUGUGAGAGCAAGAGCCCAGAGAUGGAUUCUGAGACAUGAAUCCAGGCCCUACGGGGCGCAGCAGGCGCGAAAACUUUACAAUGCGGGAAACCGCGAUAAGGGGACACCGAGUGCCAGCAUUUAUGUUGGCUGUCCACAUGUGUAAACGGCAUGUGUUAGCAAGGGCCGGGCAAGACCGGUGCCAGCCGCCGCGGUAACACCGGCGGCCCGAGUGGUAAUCAC